GGACCCCUUUUACUCAUACUGCUGAAAAGGACUCUGGUCUUCUGCCCUGGCCACAACACUGGGCUCUCAUCCCUGAACACACAAUUUCUUCCAGAGUCUGGAAGAGUGAUCUAUAAAACCCAUCAUCCCCCAGCUACCAGGCAUGCUGACUGAGGAAUUCUGAGAAGUACUGUCCAAAUUGAAAAUAAUCCACAGCCAAAUUAGUGGGACAGCUGUAUGCUUCCUCUUCACCUUUUUUCCAAAGUGAUGCAGUAGGAACAACCCCAAACUGGGACUCAAGGUUGCUUAUACAUUAGGGAAGUGUUGUCCACACACACAAAAGGAUGCAAAUAUUUCAGAGGCCUGGUUUACAAAAGCCAA